rnacentral:sRNA from 1 species
GUUCGCACAUGCAAUAUGGGAUAUCAGUUAAAAUUGCUUUGCCAAAUACGUAAAUUUUCAUACACAAAAUAUGUUAGUAAUAGGUUUGGGAAAGGAAAAAAAAUGUGGAGAUGGGGAAGGUGCAACAAUCCAAAUCUGAAUGAAUAUGGAAUAUACUCGGCUCUUCCGAGGAUUUUAUAUACCCCUGCAGACGGGCAAGGAAUUGGAAUAUGUGAUGAACAAAUUUCCAUAAUAUCGUUAUACCUUUAAUUAAAUCCCCCUUAAAUGCCCUCUGCAAGGGCAUAUUCGGAACCCAAACAAAUGGUUGCUAUUGAAACGGAUGAAAUGGAUACCCAACCACCAGAUAUAUGACCAUUCGGAACUGGUUUGGUUCGGACAACUUUCAAUCCCACGCGUAUGUGACGAUGAGCAUAUAAUUUCAAUAUAAAUGAGUACAAGGAUUUAAUGCUGGGUAGGGGAAGGAACUUGGGUUAGGGGUAUACAUUUCGGUGUAAAUUCGAUUUGGCUAAAAAAGAAUUCAAAUUAAGUAAAUAAACAUAAA